UUGAUCAUGGCUCAGAAUCAACGCUGGCGUGCAGUGCCUAACACAUGCAAGUCGAACGAGAAAGCGGGGGCAACUCCGUGAGUAAAGUGGCGACCGGGUGAGUAACACGUGACCAACCUACCCUGGAGUGGGGAAUAACCUCGGGAAACCGGGGCUAAUACCGCAUGACGUCCACGGGUGCAACUCCUGCGGACCAAGGGAGUAAUUCGCUCUGGGAGGGGAUCGCGGCUGAUUAGCUAGUUGGCGGGGUAACGGCCCACCAAGGCGAUGAUCAGUAGCCGGCCUGAGAGGGCGCACGGCCACACUGGAACUGAAACACGGUCCAGACUCCUACGGGAGGCAGCAGUGGGGAAUUUUGCGCAAUGGGGGAAACCCUGACGCAGCAACGCCGCGUGGAGGAUGAAGUCCCUUGGGACGUAAACUCCUUUCGACCGGGACGAAUGAUGACGGUACCGGUGGAAGAAGCCCCGGGCUUAAACUUUCGNUGCCAAGCAGGCCGGCGGUAAAUACGAAGGGGGGGCCNACGCGUUUGUUUCGGGAAAUUACUUGGG
rnacentral:rRNA from 1 species